GUGGGGAAUAUUGGACAAUGGGCGCAAGCCUGAUCCAGCCACGCCGCGUGAGUGAUGAAGGCCUUCGGGUCGUAAAGCUCUGUGGGGAGGGACGAACCGCCACUCGUGCAUAGCGGGUGGCAUGACGGUACCUCCUUAGCAAGCACCGGCUAACUUCGUGCCAGCAGCCGCGGUAAUACGAAGGGUGCAAACGUUGCUCGGAAUCAUUGGGCGUAAAGCGCACGUAGGCGGCCCACCAAGUCGGAUGUGAAAUCCCUCAGCUCAACUGAGGACGUGCAUCCGAAACUGGCGGGCUUGAGUAUGGAAGAGGGUCGCGGAAUUCCCGGUGUAGAGGUGAAAUUCGUAGAUAUCGGGAGGAACACCAGUGGCGAAGGCGGCGACCUGGGCCAAUACUGACGCUGAGGUGCGAAAGCGUGGGGAGCAAACAGGAUUAGAAACCCUUGUAGUCC
rnacentral:rRNA from 1 species